UGAUGCGAUCAUAGCAGCACUAAAGCUAC
rnacentral:rRNA from 1 species